rnacentral:rRNA from 1 species
AUGAACGCUAGCUACAGGCUUAACACAUGCAAGUCGAGGGGCAGCAUCGCGAUAGCUUGCUAUUGCGGAUGGCGACCGGCGCACGGGUGAGUAACGCGUAUCCAACCUUCCCGCAACUGGGGAAUAACCUUGCGAAAGUAAGACUAAUACCCCAUGGCCUCCAUAGAAGACAUCUGAAAUGGAGUAAAGGUUUCGGCCGGUUGCGGAUGGGGAUGCGUCCGAUUAGCUUGACGGCGGGGUAACGGCCCACCGUGGCAUCGAUCGGUAGGGGUUCUGAGAGGAAGGUCCCCCACAUUGGAACUGAGACACGGUCCAAACUCCUACGGGAGGCAGCAGUGAGGAAUAUUGGUCAAUGGGCGGAAGCCUGAACCAGCCAAGUAGCGUGAAGGAUGACUGCCCUAUGGGUUGUAAACUUCUUUUAUGCGGGGAUAAAGUUCGCCACGUGUGGCGUUUUGCAGGUACCGCAUGAAUAAGGACCGGCUAAUUCCGUGCCAGCAGCCGCGGUAAUACGGAAGGUCCAGGCGUUAUCCGGAUUCAUUGGGUUUAAAGGGAGCGUAGGCCGCCUUUUAAGCGUGUUGUGAAAUGUAGGGGCUCAACCCCUGCACUGCAGCGCGAACUGGAGGGCUUGAGUACACACAAAGUAGGCGGAAUUCAUGGUGUAGCGGUGAAAUGCUUAGAUAUCAUGAAGAACCCCGAUUGCGAAGGCAGCUUACUGGAGUGUAACUGACGCUGAAGCUCGAAAGCGCGGGUAUCGAACAGGAUUAGAUACCCUGGUAGUCCGCACGGUAAACGAUGGAUGCCCGCUGUUGGUCUGAAUAGGUCAGCGGCCAAGCGAAAGCAUUAAGCAUCCCACCUGGGGAGUACGCCGGCAACGGUGAAACUCAAAGGAAUUGACGGGGGCCCGCACAAGCGGAGGAACAUGUGGUUUAAUUCGAUGAUACGCGAGGAACCUUACCCGGGCUUGAAUUGCAGGAGAACGAUCCAGAGAUGGUGAGGCCCUUCGGGGCUCCUGUGAAGGUGCUGCAUGGUUGUCGUCAGCUCGUGCCGUGAGGUGUCGGCUUAAGUGCCAUAACGAGCGCAACCCCUCUCCGUAGUUGCCUUCGGGUGAAGCCGGGCACUCUGCGGAUACUGCCACCGUAAGGUGUGAGGAAGGUGGGGAUGACGUCAAAUCAGCACGGCCCUUACGUCCGGGGCUACACACGUGUUACAAUGGGGCAUACAGAAAGCAGGCGGCCGGCAACGUCCGCCUAAUCAUUAAAGUGUCCCUCAGUUCGGACUGGGGUCUGCAACCCGACCCCACGAAGCUGGAUUCGCUAGUAAUCGCGCAUCAGCCAUGGCGCGGUGAAUACGUUCCCGGGCCUUGUACACACCGCCCGUCAAGCCAUGAAAGCCGGGGGUGCCUGAAGUCCGUGACCGCAAGGAUCGGCCUAGGGCAAAACUGGUAAUUGGGGCU